rnacentral:rRNA from 1 species
UGCGUAGGCGGAAUAAUAAGUCAGUGGUGAAAGCCUGCGGCUCAACCGUAGAAAUGCCAUUGAUACUGUUAUUCUUGAGUAUAGUUGAGGUGGGCGGAAUGUGUAAUGUAGCGGUGAAAUGCAUAGAUAUUACACAGAACACCAAUUGCGAAGGCAGCUCACUAAACUGUCACUGACGCUGAGGCACGAAAGCGUGGGGAGCAAACAGGAUUAGAUACCCUGGUAGUCCC